AGAGUUUGAUCAUGGCUCAGGAUGAACGCUAGCUACAGGCUUAACACAUGCAAGUCGAGGGGAAACGACAUCGAAAGCUUGCUUUUGAUGGGCGUCGACCGGCGCACGGGUGAGUAACGCGUAUCCAACCUGCCCAUCACUUGGGGGAUAACCUUGCGAAAGUAAGACUAAUACCCAAUGAUAUCUCUAGAAGACAUCUGAAAAGAGAUUUAAAGAUUUUAUCGGUGAUGGAUGGGGGAUGCGUCUGAUUAGCUUGUUGGCGGGGUAACGGCCACCAAGGCUACGAUCAGUAGGGGUUCUGGAGAGGAAGGUCCCCCACAUUGGAACUGAGACACGGUCCAAAACUCCUACGGGGAGGCA
rnacentral:rRNA from 1 species